AAAAAUGAGGUUUUAGUGGCCAAGGGAUAUAACCCAGUGAAUCGCUUCUAAGAUUGCUGCAGCUUUACCAAUCCUCGAGCUCCACGUACCUAACUUGGUCGACAUCCUGUAACCAAGGAUGCUUUCUGUAGUAUCAUCCCAAAACCUGUUUGUAGAGUGUCGUUGAAAAGAGCCAUAUCCACAUUACCUAUGAUUGAGCCCGCCAGUGGGGGAUGCCAACGCAGAUAAUAGUGAUUAGGCAUGAUGUUGUUUGAUUGCAGUUGCAGCUUGGCUUUUUCCCAAUCUGUCAUUUGUUGGAGUCCCUCAGAAACUGCCAUCGCUGUUGUUCUUUGUCUAUUCUGCCAAACGUAGUUAUUUCUUUCCCUCCAUCUACCCCAUAUACCUGUUGCCACCUUUUGACACAUCUCCCUUGUUUGAUUUCUGAUCAGGCUCCACAACCAUUCAUCCAUUUCAGAAUAGGAUGCUGCCGUCGUGGUGAUUAUUGUCUCAAUUCCAAGCUGCUUCCAGUAUUCUGCAGUGAACGGGCAGUUCAAGAAGGGAUGUCAGUUUUCUUCGAAGUCUUUAUUGCAGGUUUCACAAACGUCGGUCACUGGCAUUCCUUUCCGACGCAAUCUACCACGAAUCGGGAUGACAUCCCUUGCCAAGAGCUAGAGCAAGUGAUUGAAUUUAUGUGGGCGAGGUAGGUUCCAAAGACGUUUCCACUCACCUUGUUUAUAAUGCAUUGAUCGAUCUACAUGCUGAUCCAUGUGUAACCAGUAGGCUAAUCGAACAGUGCAGUCACCAUGUUUGUUGUAGUGCCACAUAAGUUUGUCUUGCCGUUUCGCAAUAGUUGUUGGGAUGGAUAAAUCAGUUUACGAUAUUGAGAAAACAUGUCUGAGAAGCGGAUUGUUCCAUUCUUGGGUCGAGUCCAGAAAUAGAGCGUCAACCUGAUCAUCCCCCAUGCCCGUCGGCGCCACUGUCUCUGGGAGAAGGUUCCCGUCAUCCACCGAUAGCCAAUGAUCAGUCUAGAUCCUUAUGUCAGACACAUCUCACCGAUACGC
rnacentral:lncRNA from 1 species